AGAGUUUGAUCCUGGCUCAGAAUGAACGCUGGCGGCGUGCCUAACACAUGCAAGUCGGAUGUGCCGUAAGGUGCAUGGCAGACGGGUGAGUAACGCGUGGGGAAUCUACCUUUUUGUGGGGAAUAACGUUCCGAAAGGAAUGGUAAUACCGCAUGUGAUCACAGUUUGGGAUAGCUGUGAUGAAAGCUGGGGACCGCAAGGCCUAGCGCAAGAAGAGGAUCCUGCGUCUGAUUAGCUAGUUGGCGGGGUAAUGGCCCACCAAGGCGACGAUCAGUAGCCGGCCUGAGAGGGUGAUCGGCCACACUGGAACUGAGACACGGUCCAGACUCCUACGGGAGGCAGCAGUGGGGAAUUUUGCGCAAUGGACGAAAGUCUGACGCAGCAACGCCGCGUGGGUGAUGAAGGUCUUCGGAUCGUAAAACCCUGUCGUCAGGGACGAAGGUAAUGUGUCUAAUACGCAUGUUGCUUGACGGUACCUGGAGAGGAAGCCCCGGCUAACUCUGUGCCAGCAGCCGCGGUAAUACAGAGGGGGCAAGCGUUAUUCGGAAUUAUUGGGCGUAAAGGGCGCGUAGGCGGCUUUUUAAGUCAGAUGUGCAAUCCCCGAGCUCAACUUGGGAACUGCAUCUGAGACUGGAAGGCUCGAGUGCUGGAGAGGGUGGUAGAAUUCCACGUGUAGCGGUGAAAUGCGUAGAGAUGUGGAGGAAUACCAGUGGCGAAGGCGGCCACCUGGACAGUAACUGACGCUGAGGCGCGAAAGUGUGGGUAGCAAACAGGAUUAGAUACCCUGGUAGUCC
rnacentral:rRNA from 1 species